rnacentral:misc_RNA from 1 species
GAUGAAGAACGUAGCGAAAUGCGAUACUUGGUGUGAAUUGCAGAAUCCCGUGAACCAUCGAGUCUUUGAACGCAAGUUGCGCCCGAAGCCAUUAGGCCGAGGGCACGCCUGCCUGGGCGUCACACGUCGAUGCCCCCCCAUCUACUCCUUCGGGAUUGCGGGGGGCGGAUGAUGGCCUCCCGUGCGCCUCGUCGCGCGGUUGGCCUAAAUGCCAAGUCCUCGGCGACGCACGCCACGACAAUCGGUGGUUGCGAAACCUCGGUUGCCCGUCGUGUGCGGUCGUCGCGCAUCGAGGGCUCGAAAAAAUUGCCGGGCUUCGGCUCGACUUUCAACGCGACCCCAGGUCAGGCGGGGUUACCCGCUGAAUUUAAGCAUAUCAAUAAGCGGAGGA